AACGGAGGCGCCCAAAGGUUCCCUCAGACUGGUUGGAAAUCAGUCGUAGAGUGUAAAGGUAUAAGGGAGCUUGACUGCGAGAGCUACAACUCGAGCAGGGACGAAAGUCGGGCUUAGUGAUCCGGGGGUCCGUAUGGAAGGGCCAUCGCUCAACGGAUAAAAGCUACCCUGGGGAUAACAGGCUUAUCUCCCCCAAGAGUUCACAUCGACGGGGAGGUUUGGCACCUCGAUGUCGGCUCGUCGCAUCCUGGGGCUGUAGUCGGUCCCAAGGG
rnacentral:rRNA from 1 species